rnacentral:tRNA from 1 species
GCCUUUGUGGUGUAGUGGUCAGCACGCUCGGCACGUAUUCGAGAGGUCCGUGGUUCAAGUCCAAGCGAGGGCA